ACUUUUUUUAAACGAAAUUUUGAACCAAAACAUAUUUGAAGAAAAAAGUGCGACACAUUUAUAAUUGAUUCCUCGAAGAAGAAAAAGGAAAAAGCACUCAGCUCCACACGUCAGCGAAAUCUUUUACAAUCAUCUCUCGAAGAACAUCCAUGGCUGCACUCCGGGAAGAGGUUCUACCACCGUCGUUGGAUGCCACAGCCGAACAACCUCCUCUAUUCGACGGAACUACUAGGUUGUAUACUGCUUACAUUUGCCCAUAUGCUCAACGCGUGUGGAUCAUCCGGAAUUACAAGGGACUACAAGAUAAAAUUAAGCUAGUUCCUCUCAAUCUAUAUAACAGGCCCGACUGGUAUAAGGAGAAAGUAUACCCUCUAAACAAGGUGCCAUCUCUGGAACAUAAUGGGAAAGUUAUUGGAGAAAGUCUUGAUCUGAUCAAAUAUGUUGAUGGCAACUUUGAAGGACCUUCUCUUCUCCCAGAUGAUCCUGCUAAAAGAGAGUAUGCUGAAGAGUUGCUCUCCUACAGCGAUACGUUUGUCAGCUCAAUAAUCUCUUCCUUUAAAGGCGACACCGCAAAGGAAGCAGGUGCUCAAUUUGAUUACUUGGAAAAUGCUUUGCAAAAGUUUGAUGGCCCCUUCUUCCUUGGAGAGAUCAGUCAGGUGGAUAUAGCCUACGUUCCAUUUGUUGAAAGGUAUCAAGUUUUCUUAUUUGAGGCUUUCAAGAUUGACAUCACUGAAGGAAGGCCUAAAUUAGCUGCAUGGAUUGAGCAUUUUGUUGCAGGAGUUCAACAAGAAUGAUGCUUACAAGCAAACAAAGUACGAUCCUAAAGCCAUUGUUGAACACUACAAGAAGCGCUUCUUGAUUUGGGAAUGACAUCCCCACAUGACAAUCCUUUGCCCCCGAUCGUGAUGGCAUCAAAUGUGUACUGGGAGAUGGAGAAAGAGAUUCGCCUUGAGUCAUAGGACUUGAACAUACUGGACAAACGAUGGACAGUAACCCAUUGACUUGGGAUGCAAUGAAUGAAGAGUCACCAUAGUUAUCUACAAGUAGAACGAGCAUAUCGAUCAAGCCAUCUGUAGACAACAAUUGGAAGAGGCCAUCAUUCCAGACAGAAUUGAUCGACUUUAUUCGAAUGAUCAUUGAUAUGCAGUCAUCACACAUGAGCAGACUUUGUAUCGUGGCAAAAGUAAAAUUAUGAGCUGGAGUUUGGACGUCGGAAGGAGAUAGUUAACACCAUAUAUAAUAUCGAGGGAUUAACUGUGGAUGAUCAAGUUACCCUUAUUCACCUCAUUGUCACAAACAUCCAGAAGGUGGACUGUUUCCUCGAGAUACCAGAACAAGUGCAGAAGAGGUAUUGCCUCCAUUUACGAGGUAAGAUCAUGUAGAUUAACCACGUACCGUCUGUCACAUUCUGUAGAAUUCAUUUUGGAUAUCGACACAUUAAUGGUCAUUAUAUAUUAUUUUGUCAUGUAAAAACCAAUGUAACUUUUGUAUACCUCAUAGCACAUUGUAAAUGCGUUCAUAUUAUGAAAUGUAGAUAUUCUAUAUACAUCAAA